GGCGGGCCUGCUGCAGGGCGGAGGGGCUCACCUGUCACGGAGGGAAAGAAGAUGCCGACCAGCACGGUGAAAGACGUGGCGAUGUCGGCCACCACGUACAGGGGCAGGCUCUCCUUCAGGCCCGGGGCGUCUGUGGAGGGCAGCCCGGGCUUUGCCACCACCUCACCCUUCUCCAGGUCACAGAGCACCUGCCCAGGUGGCCGUGAAGACCCAGGGCUAAGGCACAGUGGCCAGGAUGUACAUGGCUGCUGCGAACGUCGUUCCCAGGUAGAAGCACAGGCCCACGGCACCUCCGAACUCUGGCCCCAGCGAGCGGGAGAUCAUGAAGUAGGAGCCCCCAGCUGCAGCAGAGAGACAGAGAGGCUCUUCUUUCCCCGGUUUCCCCGUGCCAAGUCCUCACAAAGGGUUGGGACAUCUACUGGGCCGGGCGGGCUUCAGUGACAGCAGUGGCUGGGUGGCCACCGUCCUCCUGUUCCAGCCACCACCAGGGCCACACCUUGGCGAGUCUGACUCCUCCUGGCCAGAAUGGGGCUGUGACCUGUGCUGCUUUUGUCCACAGAGCCUACCAUCAGCGCCCUCACUCACGCAGCAGCAGCAGAUGAGCACUAUGAGGAGAGACUGGAGCACCCCGGCCGUGCCCACCAUCCAGCAGGCCCUGAGUCACCGGAGCCACAGUCCCAAAGGUCAUCCCAGGCCCGACCUCUCUCCAGUCCAGAAGUCACGGCUUCCUGUCCACCCUGGCCCCAUGCCACCCUGCCAUGGGCCAGCCGUGUAGCUGGGGCCCCUGGGUGGCACCUUCCCCAUCAGCCUGUUGACCCCUCCACCGUCCAGCUCACUCUGCCGGAGCAGAGAAGGUCUCUGAAAGGCAAGUCUGACUUCG